GAUGAACGCUGGCGGCGUGCCUAAUACAUGCAAGUCGAGCGAACAGACGAGGAGCUUGCUCCUCUGACGUUAGCGGCGGACGGGUGAGUAACACGUGGAUAACCUACCUAUAAGACUGGGAUAACUUCGGGAAACCGGAGCUAAUACCGGAUAAUAUAUUGAACCGCAUGGUUCAAUAGUGAAAGACGGUUUUGCUGUCACUUAUAGAUGGAUCCGCGCCGCAUUAGCUAGUUGGUAAGGUAACGGCUUACCAAGGCGACGAUGCGUAGCCGACCUGAGGGGGGGAUCGGCCACAGCGGAACUGAGACACGGUCCAGACUCCUAGGGGAGGCAGCAGGAGGGAAUUUUCCGCAAGGGGCGAAAGCCUGACGGAGAAACGCCGGGGGAGUGAAGAAGGUUUUCGGAUCGUAAAACUCUUUUAUUAGGGAAGAACAAAUGUGUAAGUAACUAUGCACGUCUUGACGGUACCAAAGCAGAAAGCCCCGGCUAACUACGU
rnacentral:rRNA from 1 species